CUUCAGUGGAAACAGCUGCUCUCUGCACAGACAUGGCUUCUACCUCCAUGGAGAAGUCCUGGACGAUGGAAACAAAAAUACCCAGCUGCUAAGACAAUAAUUCGACACUGGAGUCGUACCAGCAGCUCGAUGACACUGUUGUGGACACACUCCUGGUUCGGGUUGGACCAAGACUUCAAGCGUUCGUUGGCAGCGGCCAGCCAAUUACUGACCGAGGCGAAGUUUGUGUGGAAUCUGUGGGGAGGAUGAGAGAAGACGAGGGUGACGCAGUGGAGCAGAACACGACUGCUCCUUCAGACGCUGAGUGAAGUUAUUUUCUGAGUCUGUCCCACCUGGAUCCAACGUCCUGGAUGUCUCUGCAGCGCUGAAUCUCUUGCUCGGC